rnacentral:snRNA from 1 species
AAGGGAAUUAAUUUUAUUGAACG